rnacentral:rRNA from 1 species
AUUGAACGCUGGCGGCAGGCCUAACACAUGCAAGUCGAGCGAGCGGCGGACGGGUGAGUAAUGUCUGGUAAACUGCCUGAUGGAGGGGGAUAACUACUGGAAACGGUAGCUAAUACCUCAUACCAUCAGAUUUGCCCAGAUGUGAUUAGCUCGGAGGUGGGGUAACGGCUCACCUAGGCGACGAUCCCUAGCGGGUCUGAGAGGAUGACCAGCCACACUGGAACUGAGAGACGGCCCAGACUCCUACGGGAGGCAGCAGUGGGGAAUAUUGAACAAUGGGCGCAAGCCUGAUGCAGCCAUGCCGCGUGUGUGAAGAAGGCCUUCGGGUUGUAAAGCACUUUCAGCGGGGAGGCGUUACCCGAAGAAGAAGCACCGGCUAACUCCGUGCCAGCAGCCGCGGUAAUUC